UUAUUUGUGGCGGCCCGCCACGAAAGAAUUAUGUCCGCCACAAAUGGAUUUUUCGGCUUUUGACUCGCUCGACCGCUCAUAAAAGCAAUGGGACUGUCUGUGAAUGUUGCUUGUAGUUACACCUCCGGUGCAGUAGGUGGCGGUAUGCAUUGUAACUCCGCCAAUAGCACUUAAUUCACCUGGUGGGCCAGAAGAAGAAGAAGAAGAAGAGGGACGGACGGACGGGACCAAAAUACUCGCCGACUACUUUUCAUAAUGAUGGCGCUUCCUACGUUUCUACCUCAAACGUCCAAAAGCUGCUGAAAGCCUUGAUCCAGGAUACCAUGGGGAAAAAAACUUAAAUGGUGCCUUUUGGCGAUAGUUAGCAGCUUGGUGGCUCAUAGCCGGCUAGCUAACGCUUGCUAGCGUGGUAGCAUUGCUUCAUUUUUACAGGUGUUAUAGGUAGAUAGGUUAUAGAUGCAUCGCUCGCGGCUCGUCAUAUUUAAUGUUAAUCCGCGAUUUCACCGAGCGUUUCACUGACGGUUUCGCCUGACGCUGCUUCAUUAACACCGCCGCUGUUUGACUCGGUCACCUGUUUUCAUACCGACGAGCUAACGUGUCCAGGUUAUAACCCUGUUGUCAAUAAACACACAUGGACUGAAGCUAAAUUGUUCACUGUCCACUGCAGCAUGUGAAUGCAAUGAAAAUAAUAAAAUCUGAACCAACCAGCUGUUAAAAUGUUGUCCAGGUUAAUGUUUUAUUAAAGGCCCUUCAUUUCAAGAUUUCAACUGUGAUCGGGCUUUAAACAGGUGGAUGACCUGUUCAGAUGGGUGUAACUGCUACUGGUCAAAUAAUGUGAAAUAGCAUUUAAUUUUACAUGUAUGCAAUGCCAUUUAAAUGUAAUUAUAGAUAAUAAUAAAUACUGUGUAGUGUUGUAAAUAGUAAACGGGAAGGAUUCUAGUAAGAUAUAAGCCAUGAGCACUACACAGCCAGAAAAAAACCUAGGCAGGACAAGUAAAAAUAUUGGGGUAAGUAGAUUUGAGAAGUCGGGCAAGUAGAAAAAAACCUUAACGUUGAACCCUGCAUGUGUUGAGCUGCUGGUUAAACGGCACUGUACAUAGAGCGCUUCUGCUCGUUAGUAAUACAUUCUAAUGUUGGAUGUUCACUCCUUCACACAGUUGAGUAUAGAAAAAUAUUUUCAACGGCCGAAAAGGGCUGGACUUGGAGAGGAGGUAGGCCUACAGUCCGGACCACAGGUGCGACCUGUUCAGCAGGAGGAGGAGGUUGACUGACUGUGGCAGGACACCUCUGCCUCUGUUUCACUUCAUGUUGCUGGUAAAUAAUAUGGUUGUAGUAGUAGGCUAAAGUUAAAUUAUUUAGUAUUCACUAAUUAAAGGGGCAGAGCUUUAAGAGACAUUUUAGCUUUUAUAUUUUAUAAGAUAUAUUUUUUGUAAGAACCACAAUUAAUAAAUAUAUUUCAGUGAAUCACUAAUUGUUCAAAUCUGUAUAUAAAUAUGUACAUAAAAUGUUGUAAUUAUAUUCCAACUCCGCGUUCUUCUUGGUCAUCGCCGCUGCCGCCCCCAAGUAUGAGUAUUAACGGUGAAUGCGCUGUAUAAUACCGGCGGUCCAGCUCUAAUGUUAAUUUGAUAUUGCCUCAAGGGCCAAAUUAAAUUACAGGGCGGGACAAAUUUUGCCCGCGGGCCAGAGUUUGACACCCAUGAUUUCGCAGGUCAGAAGAAGACAAUUCACUGGUAGUUUGGAUAUGUGUUCUGCAUAAAUUAAACAGGGGCGGAAUUAAAGAUGAACGCCAACACAAUACAAUUUGAUAAGUCACCUUAAAAUGUACUAAUGUGAAGAUUUAUGGAAGCAGUGCGAAGCUGCUGUGCUAAGCCAAGACUUGGGGUUAAUAGCGGCGACCACAGCAAACAAAAAAUCACGGGACAGUUUGAAAUAAAAUACUUGGGGCUAAAGAACGUGACGACAAAAUGAGUACAUGUUUAUGUCUAACUUCAUGGUAACUCUUAGUUAACUUUUAUGAGUUCUUAGUGCAAAAAAGCACUUUUGUCAUUUGAACCCAGAUUUUUUUGAAUAAUUUACAAUUGAACCUUUCUGCACUAGUUUAUUACAGUCAAGGAACAAUAUAAUUAUCGUAAAUUGAUCUUAUUUUUGUCAAGGAACAAUAUAAAUAUCGUAAAUGUAUCUUAUUUUUGUCAAUCAACACGCAAUGUUACGCCACCUGUUUCAGAAUGAAUGAAUUAAUUUUUACGACGAUGCAGAAUCUAAUUGCCGUAGUUUUAUUCGCCUCAUAUACCUAUGUCGUGUUGGACAGAUUUUCUUUUUUUAUUGUAUGAAAUCAUGUACAGAAUGUUUGAGUUGCUUGUUGUCUAUCAUUGAAAUAAUUACGUUUCGAUAUCAAUACAUUAAAAAUAUAUUUUGCUCUACGCAAUGAUUUUAAUUGUUUACGUGGGUCAGAAUUAUAGUAGGAAGUCUACCGUAUUUUUCGUACUAUAAGUCGCAGUUUUUUUCAUAGUUUGGCGACUUAUAUAUGUUUUUUUCCUUCUUUAUUAUGCAUUUUCGGCAGGUGCGACUUAUACUCCGAAAAACACGGUAUUUGUUUCUGAAAAAUAUCAUUCAUUAAAAAACAGAAAUAUAAGUUGACAUACUUAUCUUUACAAAAGAUGUACAUCUUUUUGUUAGAGUGUACACACAUUUUGGGCAAAAGUGUGAACUGUUAAAAUCAUUUCUUCCCACAAAAUCUCCAGUAGUUAUAUGUACACAUAAUUAUCGGUUGUCUGUAUCGUUUUAAAAUGUCCAUUAUCGCGCAUGUCUAAUAUUCCGAGCAUUUGAAGGUUUUUGUAUGUUGUCUAUGUGUGAUGAACAUCCACACAACAUCAAGUUUAUUAGUCCUCUACUCCUCACGCUAAUUGCUGCAAAAAGACGUAACACACACAUAAUAUCAGAAGAAAAGGAAACGCUGACUAAGACUUUUGAAUGUUCAUAUUUUCCAUUUCAGACCGACUCAAAGCAGCGUAGUUGUUGAGAAGAACAGCACUUUUGCAGCACUCCUGUCAUAUAAAAGAUCUCAGACUAGUUGCAGAGAGCUCGGAACACGGACAGCCCUUGAAGCUCUCGUGAAUGGCCGCCAUGGUGUGGAAGGUCUUCUCCCAGAAGUGCAACAGUGUGGUCUGCCAGGCGACAAAGGACAAGAAGGACACUGACAACAAGUGUGUGGUGCUGCUGUGUACCUGGUAGGAGGAACCGCUCUCACUCCCACUGACCUUACGGAACUUCUCCAUCUGCUUGUGCGUGUCCGGGUCCAGCUCCUGAGAGACGUCCUUCAUCCACAGGAGUGCGCCGCGGUACUCAGUCCUGGUCUGCUCCAUGCGGUUGACCGUCAGCCAGGUGUCGGAGAUGGCCCUGAAGCGGAAGGUCUCCACUUCUUGCUGCUGACCACCACUGGCUCACCUCUGCUGCGAGGAGAAGCAGAGAGCUUUGCCUGUGGCCUGCAUGAUCUUCCCAGCCCUGCUUCUGUCCUGGGAACCCUGGGACCGCAGGAACCGGCCCAGCUCGCUCUCCUCCUGGGAAAGAACUGCAGAGCGCUUCAGUCGUCAGUUUGAACGGUCUGGAUAGAGGUCAGUUGGAGAUGGUUCUUACAGCAGAUCCUCCUCUGGUACUGCUCGAUGACUUUUAGCAGCUCCAUGCAUGUCCUCUGAAUGGAGUGGAACACCUGAAGAACCGCACAGAAAACGUUCCAAUUUAAAGGCCUACUGAAAGCCACUACUACCGACCACGCAGUCUGAUAGUUUAAAUAUCAAUGAUGAAAUCUUAACAUUGCAACACAUGCCAAUACGGCCGGGUUAGCUUACUAAAGUGCAAUUUUAAAUUUUGCGCGAAAUAUCCUGCUGAAAACGUCUCGGUAUGAUGACGUCGGCGCGUGACGUCACGGAUUGUAGAAGACAUUUUGGGACAGCAUGGUGGCCAGCUAUUAAGUCGUCUGUUUUCAUCGCAAAAUUCCACAGUAUUCUGGACAUCUGUGUUGGUGAAUCUUUUGCAAUUUGUUCAAUGAACAAUGGAGACAGCAAAGAAGAAAGCUGUAGGUGGGAAGCGGUGUAUUGCGGGCGGCUGCAGCAACACAAACACAGCCGGUGUUUCAUUGUUUACAUUCCCGGAAGAUGACAGUCAAGCUUUACCAUUGGCCUGUGGAGAACUGGGACA